rnacentral:lncRNA from 1 species
UAAGAAGGGAAGUCACGUUAUGUCACUCUAUAUGACUCAAAGGGUGGCAGACAGGUACUAUCUUUCGGAAAACAUUGUUAAAAACUGAUCUACAGAAGAGGCCUGAGAACAGGGAACACAGGUCAGAGAGUCACAGUUAGGCCUGCCCCAGCCCAAGCUGAGGGAAGGUCUGGGAAGAAGUUGAGGGAAGCGGAGCGGUCAGAAACUUGAAGCAGAACAACGCAAGAAGCAGAGGUUCUCCUCGGGCUGGGACGCUGUAAUGGCUUAUCCCUCAGAAUUGCAACUUGCCCUCCAAAUUCAAACAUUCCCUGCUGGAGGAUAGGAGCCAAUCAUGAGCUUCCGGUGGUUAAACGGGAGGUUAACAAACGGCCACAUACCCAGGAAGAAGAGAAGCUUGGAAGAUUCCUGAGGCCUCUGGCAACAUAAACGGAAGUGAACAAUUGCUAGGGGUGGAGACUCUGACCAACCAAUCUAUGGAAAGAAUGAUUGUGGAGCUACCUGUGUGCUGUGGAGAGAGCUUCUGGCUUGGCUGAAGAAGAGAUCAGAGAGUUCAAAAUCAGCUUAGACUACGUAGAAAAACCCUGCUGAGCAACAGGAGGAAGAAGAGGAAGAAGAGGAGGGAGAGGAGGAAGAGGAGGAGGGAAAAGAAGAGGAGGGGGGAGGACCACAUCCAAGAUGAGUGUCCCACACCCCCCGCAGUCAGUGCUCUGGAAAAAUCCUCACAAACACUGAGAAGUGCACUUCCUUAAUCUCCUACACGCUUCUCAAUCCAAUAAAAUUGAUAAUCAAAAUUCAUCGUCACAGUCACUUACAAUGUAAGCCUUACAUGAAUAUGACAUAAGUCUAAUUCCUAUUUUG